CACGUCACCAUGUCCGGCCUCCUACCAGUGAGCCGUCAGCCUCCAGCUGCACCACCGGCCACCACUGGCCACAGACAAGGACAGGCCCUUCUCACGAGGACGGCACUAGAGUUCUGUACAGCAUUUCAACAAGUGCUAAGUGCUGAUCCAAGGCAGCUCUCUACGUGCAGAGGAACAAAUAUGUCGCGACACACUUAUACGCGUGGGUGAAGAACGGGGAAGGGUAUGAACAGCGAUGGGUCUGCCUUUCCUACCCACUGGAAGACAAAGCUGAAGCCAGGGUGAAGUUUAGGCAGAGCUCAGAGAUCUUCCUCUGGUUUUUGUCUUGAUACUUCGAAAUGGCUUGAACCCUGCAGGAGACCAGAUAUUCUAAAAGGAUGCGUGUGACCCUCUCUUCAGCUAUCAGACUGUUGAACAAUGGACUCCAGGGAAUUACAACUUCCCCGCCCUAGGGAAAGGUGGAAGCCCUGGGACAGCUACAGGAGGGAGAGACUUCACAGGGCUCUGACGACUUAGCAGACUCCACCGCAGGACAGACCAGAGCCGAGACACUGAAGGGCGAGGACGGGCAGGACCACACCGUGACCAGGACCUCUUCACUAUGUGAACCUCAUGCCCUCUGUUUGAACCUAAGCUUAUGCUAGUGCCUUAUAGACAGACUUGGGGUGUCACUGGGCCCCCCCAUGCUGCUCUCUCCCACAUGACCACUUUACACAAA